rnacentral:sRNA from 15 species
GAUUUCCAUAUCUAUACAACAGAGGGAAUGACAUUAGAAU